rnacentral:lncRNA from 10 species
GUUACUUACCUUUGGGGGUGGCCCUUUGAAGGGAGACUGAGGAAGUGUAAUGGAAGGAACCAUGUGAGCAUUGGCCUGUCUGAGAAGUUAUCCAUGCUUUCCCUACAACCCCUCACCUGCAAGACGCCUCUAAGAGCUAUAAAAUCUUUCCCUCCCUUCUCUCCAACAGUCACAGACAGAGAUUGGCACUUCCUACAAGGCAGGCUUUCCAUCAUGUAGUUUGUAGAUUGUGUAAGUGGUUCUGAGAUGUGAAAUGCUCUAAAUCUCAUUUCCCCAUCAUUUUCCAAAAGUAUUUUUCUAGGUGAGAUUUCUAUCUCAUAGAUGGCAUUGAUAUCUCAAUGCAAGGACAGGAGCAACUCAUGCUGCCUGCUUUGACCACCCUCCCCCACACUUCAUCACCAUCCCUGCCUAACCCCUGGAGCAACUGUCCCUAAAGGGCCAUGGUGGUGGGGCCCCUGGCCUCAGAGCCUCCCCGCGUCCCCAGGCAGCUGUGGCAGAGCCCUGAACAUCACUCCUUCGGUGAUCCUUGGUCUCUCCUUCUCACCUGUAUGGGAAAAGAGACUUGGGCUGAGAAAUGCAUUCAGAUUUUUUCUGGCCUGUGGACUGUUUUCUUUCUAUGGUCUGAGUGUGUAGAGUGAGCAGAAACUAUGAAGAGCCAUGAGCAGUUCCGGGGGAGCAGCUGCGAGCAUCAUGGAAGGCCUCUGCCCUGUCGGAGAAGCCGGGAUCCUCUUCAGCUUGGACACUACAUCAGUGACACUGGCAUCUCCCCCAUGCCAGAGGGAACUGCACAAGACACUUCAUUCUCUUUAAUCUGCUCUACCCCGUCAUAUACCAUUGUUUAUGAUGCUAACAAUUAUGAUGGUGCAAUAGCACACUCAGUGACUCAUCAGCUCCCGCCUUCCAGAGGCACUCAGCUCUCACAUACGCGAGUUUCUGAUCCAGCAGCUCUGGGAUGAGGCCCAGGAAUCUGAAUUUCUAGGGGCUUCUCAGAUGAGGAUGAAGUUGUCGAUGUGGAGAACAUACUUUGAAAACCAUUGAGAAGAUGCCGAUCCUGCCAAUGCCAGCAGUCCUACUCUGCUGCUUCUCCACCCUAAACAUCGUAUUUUUUAAAGAGAAUCAGUUUGAUGAAUGACAUGUUAUUAGCAUUCUUGAUAUUCCUAACUACUAAUUCUUUCAGAGUACCUGCAUGUCUGGAUCCAGCCGUGACUACCAACUAAUAAAUAAUAAAGCCACUAGUUUCCUCUCUUCCUCUCUCCUACAUUCCCUACAUGGCAUUGAUCCUAAAAUGGCUACCUUCACAUCACCCAGGGAAAAAAAGGAAUUUAGGCACAAACAUAAGAAAACAUUUGAUAAAAAUAUUACUUUUGUAAUUUAGUAACCUAGUGAGAUAGAAAAACAUAUUUUAUCUGUUUCAAAAGUUGAAUUUCAUCAGCGUAUGGCAUAUGCUUCAUUAUACUGGUUAGUGAUGUCUGUUACAAACAAGGUUCCCAAAUGCCAUGCCAGCUUGCAUAGUUCUGAGAAAGAGGUCCAAAUAUAUUCCAUUGCAUUUCCCAAUUAAAAUUGUUCAUUUUGGAGUGAAGUUGUAAGAAUGAUUGUCCAGGCAGCCCACUCUUUUAUUUAUAGUCCUUUCAAAUUAAAUCUGAAGGCAUUUCACUGAUGAUUUGAUUCUGAUUUUUUUUUUAUGUUUCUCACAUUCAAUAAAUGUCAAAUUGCUGG